rnacentral:tRNA from 1 species
GCCUAGGUGCUGGAAUUGGCAGACAGAGCAGACUCAAAAUCUGCUGGCCCUUGUGGCCGUGUGGGUUCGAGUCCCACCCUGGGCA